UUAACACAUGCAAGUCGAACGGUAAGGCCUUCGGGUACACGAGUGGCGAACGGGUGAGUAACACGUGGGUGAUCUGCCCUGCACUUUGGGAUAAGCCUGGGAAACUGGGUCUAAUACCGAAUAUGAUCAUGGCCUUCAUGGGUUGUGGUGGAAAGCUUUUGCGGUGUGGGAUGGGCCCGCGGCCUAUCAGCUUGUUGGUGGGGUAAUGGCCUACCAAGGCGACGACGGAUAGCCGGCCUGAGAGGGUGACCGGCCACACUGGGACUGAGAUACGGCCCAGACUCCUACGGGAGGCAGCAGUGGGGAAUAUUGCACAAUGGGCGCAAGCCUGAUGCAGCGACGCCGCGUGAGGGAUGACGGCCUUCGGGUUGUAAACCUCUUUCAGUAGGGACGAAGCGCAAGUGACGGUACCUAUAGAAGAAGGACCGGCCAACUACGUGCCAGCAGCCGCGGUAAUACGUAGGGUCCGAGCGUUGUCCGGAAUUACUGGGCGUAAAGAGCUCGUAGGUGGUUUGUCGCGUUGUUCGUGAAAACUCACAGCUCAACUGUGGGCGUGCGGGCGAUACGGGCAGACUGGAGUACUGCAGGGGAGACUGGAAUUCCUGGU
rnacentral:rRNA from 1 species